AUUUGAAGGUGAAGUAGGA
rnacentral:piRNA from 1 species